rnacentral:lncRNA from 1 species
CCUUCCCAAAACAUGUCUAAUUAGAUAUCUUAUAUGCCUAUCCAUUGGUCUCUUUUAAAGUAUUUACUUACAUUAUCAAAUACCUUAAAUUCAUACCAAUUAAGUCAAUUCCUACUAAACACCGUUACUAACCUUAAUUUACUUAUUUAGUCAAUACAUUCACAAUCUAAAUGGUUCUCCUGAGACAUCCUAGGUACAUGCCAUUACCAAUAAAACAUGUUUUACCUCAUUGAAUUCGGGAUCGGACUGAGAUGUUGAUUCAACGGUCUGACUUUAACUUAUCCUGCACAUGGAAACAAGUCGUACGCUUAGUAUGAACUCAAUGGUAUUUCUAUAAUCCGAACACUUAUUAACAUAACAUACACUUAAAUCAUAUAAUGAUCAUAAAUAUUCAAUUAUUCAUUUCAUGGAUAAAUUCUUUAUAACUCAUUCGAUCUUUAUCAUCUAUUAACCCGAUUAGCUUUUCAAAAUAAAUUCACAAAUCAUUUAAACAAUAAUAUUUUCCAUUCAUAUGUCUCACUUAUACUUCUUGUUCACUAUUAAAUUUUCAAUAAUAAUAUUCAACUAUCACAUUUCAUUCAGUAAUCUAAUAUAAUCCAAGCUUAGUAUCAGUCAAUAUUUUUCAGUAUUAAUCAAUUUAUCAUCAUCAUUUAGUAACAAUCAAUUGAUCUUUAUUGUUCAGUAUCAGUCAGUCAUUAGUAAUAAUCAGUUAUUCAGUAACGGUCGUUUAUUCAUUAUCAGUCAAUUAUUCAGUAGUAGUUAGUUAUUCAGUAACAGUCAUUGAUUCAGUAACAGUCGAUUAUUCAGUGGCAGUUAAUUUUCAGUAUCUUUAUUUACCCCUAUUAACAUGAGUCGGACCUAGACGGAUAUGUGGAUCCAACCCACACACUGGGAUAGCACACAGUGUUUCAUCAGUCGAAGUCGGAAUACACCGUGUUAGUAACGGUAAUAGUAAUAGUAAUAGUAGCAGUACGGUACACAGAGUACCUCAUCGGAACGAAUCCGGAACAGUAACAGUAACAGUAAGGUACGGAGUACCUCUUCGGAACAAAUCCGGAACAGCAACAGUAAGGCGACACUUAUAGUGUCUCAUCGACACAAAGUCAGAAUAUACCUGAACACUUCCAAUACUAUGGCAUGCCAACUAUAUCCGACUUAGCCCGAUACUGUUAAUAGGGUAUUUAACCAAUUUUCGGUUUUCAAUCAAUAUGUAUAUAUUUCAAUUAAUCACAUAAUUUAGUAAAUCAAUACAAUUCAAUAUAAUUCAAUUCACUUUUCAUUAAUAUAUAAUCAAAUUCCACAAUAAACACUUAUUCAUAAUUAUUUCACCACAUUUUCAAAUCAAUUCAUUUCAAUAAUAAACACAAUACCAAUAAUUCACACUUUAAUUAUUUACCAUAACAUUCAUUCAAAAUAUAACUAUUAAUAAUAAAUUUUACUCUUUAAUUCCAAUCAAUAUUUAUUCCUAUUCAAAUAUUUAGCUUUAAAUACUUACUAUACUUAUCAAGUAAUAAAUUCAACAAUUAAGUAUUAAGUUCGGAUUAUAGAAAUACAAACCGUAAUUUUCGAGUUAUCCUUUGUCGGCUUUGUCUUUUCCUUGCCUAGCCGAGAUUUUCCGGCACAACGCUAGCUACGAAAAUCAAUUAAAUAUUAUCAAUACACUACCAUUCAAUUUUUAUAUUGAAUAUUUCAAUUUCUAUCCAACUUUUGCCUUAAUUCCGAUUUAGUCUCUAAACCGAGACUAACUUUUAUUAUUUACAUUUAGCUCAAUAUUUUCAUUCAAUUUCCACUCUAGACUUACUUCAACUCUCUAAUUUCACCAUAGGACUAUAAUUUCAAAAUUCAUUCAAUUUAGUCCCUACCAUUCAAAACUUAUAAUUUACUUUACAAUUCAAUCCUUAUUUCACUUCUAACUUGAAAUUCUAUCAAUUUAAUCCCUAAUUCAUCAUUUUAUUCAACAUGAACCAUAUCUAGAAAUCUAAUAUCUUUCAAAAUAUCAACUUAAUUUCAUCAAAACCUUAUUCCAAAGCUUCUAAAAUAUUAAAAUUAAGUAAAAAGGGCUUGAUUGACUUACCUAUUAAAAUUUAAAGCUUCAAAACCUUAAUUUUCCCUUUUCUCCCUUUCUUUCCUUUCUUUCUACCCUGUUCUUCUCUGUUUCGUUUCAUGUUCUUUUUCUUUCUUUCUUUCUUUU